rnacentral:rRNA from 1 species
UAGACCUACGGGACGCAGCAGUGGGGAAUAUUGGGCAAUGGGCGCAAGCCUGACCCAGCAACGCCGCGUGAAGGAAGAAGGCCCUCGGGUUGUAAACUUCUUUUAUCAAGGACGAAACAAAUGACGGUACUUGAUGAAUAAGCCACGGCUAACUACGUGCCAGCAGCCGCGGUAAUACGUAGGUGGCAAGCGUUAUCCGGAUUUACUGGGUGUAAAGGGCGUGCAGGCGGGACUGCAAGUCAGAUUUGAAAAAC